GUGGGGAAUAUUGCACAAUGGGGGAAACCCUGAUGCAGCAACGCCGCGUGAGUGAUGACGGCCUUCGGGUUGUAAAGCUCUGUCUUCAGGGACGAUAAUGACGGUACCUGAGGAGGAAGCCACGGCUAACUACGUGCCAGCAGCCGCGGUAAUACGUAGGUGGCGAGCGUUGUCCGGAUUUACUGGGCGUAAAGGGAGCGUAGGCGGACUUUUAAGUGAGAUGUGAAAUACCCGGGCUCAACUUGGGUGCUGCAUUUCAAACUGGAAGUCUAGAGUGCAGGAGAGGAGAAUGGAAUUCCUAGUGUAGCGGUGAAAUGCGUAGAGAUUAGGAAGAACACCAGUGGCGAAGGCGAUUCUCUGGACUGUAACUGACGCUGAGGCUCGAAAGCGUGGGGAGCAAACAGGAUUAGAUACCCGUGUAGUCC
rnacentral:rRNA from 1 species